GCACAGAGGAGCUUGCUCCUUGGGUGACGAGUGGCGGACGGGUGAGUAAUGUCUGGGAAACUGCCCGAUGGAGGGGGAUAACUACUGGAAACGGUAGCUAAUACCGCAUAACGUCGCAAGACCAAAGAGGGGGACCUUCGGGCCUCUUGCCAUCGGAUGUGCCCAGAUGGGAUUAGCUAGUAGGUGGGGUAACGGCUCACCUAGGCGACGAUCCCUAGCUGGUCUGAGAGGAUGACCAGCCACACUGGAACUGAGACACGGUCCAGACUCCUACGGGAGGCAGCAGUGGGGAAUAUUGCACAAUGGGCGCAAGCCUGAUGCAGCCAUGCCGCGUGUAUGAAGAAGGCCUUCGGGUUGUAAAGUACUUUCAGCGAGGAGGAAGGCGUUGUGGUUAAUAACCGCAACGAUUGACGUUACUCGCAGAAGAAGCACCGGCUAACUCCGUGCCAGCAGCCGCGGUAAUACGGAGGGUGCAAGCGUUAAUCGGAAUUACUGGGCGUAAAGCGCACGCAGGCGGUCUGUCAAGUCGGAUGUGAAAUCCCCGGGCUCAACCUGGGAACUGCAUCCGAAACUGGCAUGCUAGAGUCUUGUAGAGGGGGGUAGAAUUCCAGGUGUAGCGGUGAAAUGCGUAGAGAUCUGGAGGAAUACCGGUGGCGAAUGCGGCCCCCUGGACAAAGACUGACGCUCAGUGCGAAAGCGUGGGGGGAGCAACAGGAUUAGAUACCCUGGUAGUCCACGCCGUAA
rnacentral:rRNA from 1 species